CAGGGCCAAGUUUUACUUGUAGUUUUUACUGUAUUUUUUUGUAGUGUUUUAGGAUAGGAGUAGGUCCCCUGAAUAAAUCACCCCUUUUAUUAGAUGUCCCCUACCCUUUCAUAGAAGUGUGUACCCCUGAUUAGCUUUCCCCAGUAACAGUUCACAUUGUAUGUAAAUUGUUCCCAUGCCAUUGGUUCCCCCUGUCUCAAGACCAUGUGCCCUGCCCACCCUGUAAGACCACAGACCCCUCAUGAUCAGUAGCAGACCAGCGGCAGUAGAGAGAGGGCCGUGCAUUUUAUUACCUCUCUUUCCCCCUUGAUUUUCUUGGGUGCGCUUUGCCCUGUGUGAGAGUUUAUCUGCUCGAGUUAUUGAUUUUCUGCCAGCAGUGUCUUUAAGGUCUACUAAUAUACACACUGUGUUGGUUUGAGUCUUUGGUUUUAGGUUUAAGUUUUUGGUCUUCAUCUUUUGUUUUGAUUUUGAUUUGAAGUUCUUGUAAAUAAAUUCCUUUUGUCUUUUUUUGUUCGAAAUCUAGAAUUGUUUCCCUUGUCCCUAUUAAUUCAGUCUCCUCGCGCCUUUUCUCUUCAAAGAUCCUGAGUUUAGUUUGGUUAGAAUCCCCAUAGUUGUAUUAGUUUUCGCGAGUUCCCCAGGUGUGUCAUUUUUCCAGGUUACAUUUUUUUCUAUUUUUGGUGGAAGAUCCGGGUAGGGAAUAUAUUUUUUUAGUAAAAUUUAGCCAGGAAUUGUUUUGAUAGGGACGACAGGCAUUUUUUCAAAGGUUUUUUUCUGUCUUUGGUGGUCAGUUUAGAUAAGUCAAGUAAUAGAGUCUAUAAACCAACACAGUGUUGUUAUAUUGGUGGAUCGGACAAGUACAUGAUGGUGGAUGUCAGGACUCCACUCCAGCUCUGUGGUUUCGACCCAGUACCUGCUGAAACCUGCAACCUUGAAGUCCCUGAUGUGCAGCCACAGUCUGAGAUGCUGAGACUCCUGCAGCACCAGUCCAGUAUGCAAGAGGUUAUUCUGCAGCAAUUUCGGCAGAUAAACGCACUCAAGGAGAUGAUGCGGCAGGUGAUGGGCGAACAGAUGAGGCAGAGAUGCUACAUACAUAGUCUGGAGUGCGCCCUGUCAGAUGUUAAGGUGAAUCAGCGUCCCCCAAAUCAGCCAGUUCCAGAAGUCCCCAUCCCACAUCGGCCAGUACCGAAAACCCCCAACCCGCAGCCAGUGCACGAAGUCCCUAAGCCCAUCCCCCAGCCAGCGCCAGAAACACACGCAAGCACCCCUGAUGAGGCGACACAGGCCAGCUCUCAGGGAGGUAUGAGUUCCGAAAGGAUAAGCCUCAGGGAAGCUCAGCUGAAAGAUCCCGCAAUCAGGCGGGUUGUUGAGCUCAAGACGGCAAGCCCCCUGAUGACAAGGAGGCAAAUGUCCCAAGAAACCAGAGUGGUGCAGAAGUUGCUAGGAGUAUGGCGUCGACUAGAGGUGAAGGGAGGACUUCUGAUGUACAAGAAGGGCGGCGGGAAGGCUACAUGUAGAUACCUGGCAGUGGUUCCCCGACAGCAGAGAGAGGAAGUGUUUCAUAGUCUCCACGAAAGCAUGGACAAGUUCGGCUAUGGAAGAAUCCUGAAGCUUGUCAAGGACAGGUAUUAUUGGCCUAGUCUUCAUAAUGAAGCAAUGGCAUACAUGAGGUGUCAUCGCAGGGGCGUACAGCGAAACGGGAGAGAAGCGUCCGGUGAGAUCUCACCGCCUCCAGAGUUCCGGGAUGACAGAGGACCCUGAUCACUGUAUUUUUGUCUAGUUUAAAUUUGUGGUUGACUUAAAUGUCCUCAAUAAUGUAUUGAAGCGUAUUGUGUAUUUUAGCAUUUUGUUUGUUUGUUUUAAUCAUGUUUAAUUGAAUUAAGUUGAUUUUUAUUGCCAUUGCUGGGGACAGCAAUAUUUUAAAGAUGGCGUGAGUGUGGCAGGGCCAAGUUUUACUUGUAGUUUUUACUGUAUUUUUUUGUAGUGUUUUAGGAUAGGAGUAGGUCCCCUGAAUAAAUCACCCCUUUUAUUAGAUGUCCCCUACCCUUUCAUAGAAGUGUGUACCCCUGAUUAGCUUUCCCCAGUAACAGUUCACAUUGUAUGUAAAUUGUUCCCAUGCCAUUGGUUCCCCCUGUCUCAAGACCAUGUGCCCUGCCCACCCUGUAAGACCACAGACCCCUCAUGAUCAGUAGCAGACCAGCGGCAGUAGAGAGAGGACCGUGCAUUUUAUUACCUCUCUUUCCCCCUUGAUUUUCUUGGGUGCGCUUUGCCCUGUGUGAGAGUUUAUCUGCUCGAGUUAUUGGUGAGUUCUGAUAUAUGUUUUUUGUAUUUUCUCAUUAAGUGUAUUAUUAAGUUUUUUUUAGAAGUUUUGAUCUGUUUUGGUAUUGUUCAGAGUUUUGACAAUCAAGUUUUAUAGAAUUCCUGAACAGCCUUGUAAGUUGUAGGAAUUAUCACUUGAAGUUUUGAGAUUGGGUUUAUUUAGAAAUUAUUUGAAGAAAGUUAGCUUGUAUUGUUUGAUUUUGAUUGAUCAGGAUCAUUAGACAUGUUAGAGUUCUGUUAUUUUCGAGGAAAACUGUGUUGUCAGAAGUUUGAUUUAUUUCAUUGACUUAAUUUCCGAGGAAUGACUUGGAUAGAUGCAUUGCAUUGCCUUUUUCUUUUGACAUCUGAUUUCAGUAUUUUGGAUGGUGUUUUCUUCACCUUUAUUGUUUUAUUGUACAUGUAUAAAGCCAAGAGGAGUGGUUUUCCCACAGACUUCUUACUGAUUAGUUUGCCAUGUUUAUUCAUUAGUUAGACUUGUCCAAGCUGUUCAUUUACUGUAGACUUGCAUUUCCUUUAUUUUGUAUUUAGCCACCUGUUUCAUUUAGUUAUUCUUAUCUGCUUUGGACCUGUGCAAGUUUACUAUUCAGGAAUGUUGAAUUACCCCCUUGGUGAUUAGUCCCACCUGGCAUUCAGAAGACAGGGACCACUGUUUAUCUUGCUCAUUAGGUAUUCACGAGAAAUUGUAGUGUUCUUGGCAAGAGUGUAUAGUAGUUCCACAUGGCAUUGUUUAUAUUACUUUAGACCUAGUGUAGCUUGAGUUGUUUGCAUUGUUUACUGUUUUUUAUUAUGUUCUUUACUCUCUUAUCUUGUUUUACAGAUUUUCUGCCAGAAGUGUCUUUAAGGUCUACUAAUAUACACACUGUGUUGGUUUGAGUCUUUGGUUUUAGGUUUAAGUUUUUGGUCUUCAUCUUUUGUUUUGAUUUUGAUUUGAAGUUCUUGUAAAUAAAUUCCUUUUGUCUUUUUUUGUUCGAAAUCUAGAAUUGUUUCCCUUGUCCCUAUUAAUUCAGUCUCCUCGCGCCUUUUCUCUUCAAAGAUCCUGAGUUUAGUUUGGUUAGAAUCCCCAUAGUUGUAUUAGUUUUCGCGAGUUCCCCAGGUGUGUCAUUUUUCCAGGUUACAUUUUUUUCUAUUUUUGGUGGAAGAUCCGGGUAGGGAAUAUAUUUUUUUUAGUAAAAUUUAGCCAGGAAUUGUUUUGAUAGGGACGACAGGCAUUUUUUCAAAGGUUUUUUUUCUGUCUUUGGUGGUCAGUUUAGAUAAGUCAAGUAAUAGAGUCUAUAAACCAACACAGUGUUGUUAUAUUGGUGGAUCGGACAAGUACAUGAUGGUGGAUGUCAGGACUCCACUCCAGCUCUGUGGUUUCGACCCAGUACCUGCUGAAACCUGCAACCUUGAAGUCCCUGAUGUGCAGCCACAGUCUGAGAUGCUGAGACUCCUGCAGCACCAGUCCAGUAUGCAAGAGGUUAUUCUGCAGCAAUUUCGGCAGAUAAACGCACUCAAGGAGAUGAUGCGGCAGGUGAUGGGCGAACAGAUGAGGCAGAGAUGCUACAUACAUAGUCUGGAGUGCGCCCUGUCAGAUGUUAAGGUGAAUCAGCGUCCCCCAAAUCAGCCAGUUCCAGAAGUCCCCAUCCCACAUCGGCCAGUACCGAAAACCCCCAACCCGCAGCCAGUGCACGAAGUCCCUAAGCCCAUCCCCCAGCCAGCGCCAGAAACACACGCAAGCACCCCUGAUGAGGCGACACAGGCCAGCUCUCAGGGAGGUAUGAGUUCCGAAAGGAUAAGCCUCAGGGAAGCUCAGCUGAAAGAUCCCGCAAUCAGGCGGGUUGUUGAGCUCAAGACGGCAAGCCCCCUGAUGACAAGGAGGCAAAUGUCCCAAGAAACCAGAGUGGUGCAGAAGUUGCUAGGAGUAUGGCGUCGACUAGAGGUGAAGGGAGGACUUCUGAUGUACAAGAAGGGCGGCGGGAAGGCUACAUGUAGAUACCUGGCAGUGGUUCCCCGACAGCAGAGAGAGGAAGUGUUUCAUAGUCUCCACGAAAGCAUGGACAAGUUCGGCUAUGGAAGAAUCCUGAAGCUUGUCAAGGACAGGUAUUAUUGGCCUAGUCUUCAUAAUGAAGCAAUGGCAUACAUGAGGUGUCAUCGCAGGGGCGUACAGCGAAACGGGAGAGAAGCGUCCGGUGAGAUCUCACCGCCUCCAGAGUUCCGGGAUGACAGAGGACCCUGAUCACUGUAUUUUUGUCUAGUUUAAAUUUGUGGUUGACUUAAAUGUCCUCAAUAAUGUAUUGAAGCGUAUUGUGUAUUUUAGCAUUUUGUUUGUUUGUUUUAAUCAUGUUUAAUUGAAUUAAGUUGAUUUUUAUUGCCAUUGCUGGGGACAGCAAUAUUUUAAAGAUGGCGUGAGUGUGGCAGGGCCAAGUUUUACUUGUAGUUUUUACUGUAUUUUUUUGUAGUGUUUUAGGAUAGGAGUAGGUCCCCUGAAUAAAUCACCCCUUUUAUUAGAUGUCCCCUACCCUUUCAUAGAAGUGUGUACCCCUGAUUAGCUUUCCCCAGUAACAGUUCACAUUGUAUGUAAAUUGUUCCCAUGCCAUUGGUUCCCCCUGUCUCAAGACCAUGUGCCCUGCCCACCCUGUAAGACCACAGACCCCUCAUGAUCAGUAGCAGACCAGCGGCAGUAGAGAGAGGACCGUGCAUUUUAUUACCUCUCUUUCCCCCUUGAUUUUCUUGGGUGCGCUUUGCCCUGUGUGAGAGUUUAUCUGCUCGAGUUAUUGAUUUUCUGCCAGAAGUGUCUUUAAGGUCUACUAAUAUACACACUGUGUUGGUUUGAGUCUUUGGUUUUAGGUUUAAGUUUUUGGUCUUCAUCUUUUGUUUUGAUUUUGAUUUGAAGUUCUUGUAAAUAAAUUCCUUUUGUCUUUUUUUGUUCGAAAUCUAGAA
rnacentral:misc_RNA from 1 species